rnacentral:rRNA from 1 species
AAGGCUAGUAUGAAUGGUUGAACGAAAUACAAACUGUCUCACUUUUAUAAUUAUAAUAAUUUAGCUUUCUAGUUAAAAGGCUUGAAUAUUAUUAGAGGACGAGAAGACCCUAUAGAACUUUAUAUAAUUUUAUUUAAAUAUUUAUAGUAAAAUAAUUUUAUUUAUUUAUCUUUAUAUUUUGUUGGGGUGACAGGAAAAUUAAUAAAACUUUUUUAACAUAAAACCAUUAAUUUAUGAAUAUUUGAUCCAUUAUUAUUGAUUAUUAGAAUAAGUUACCUUAGGGAUAACAGCGUAAUUUUGUUGGAGAGUUCAUAUCUAUAACAAAGUUUGCGACCUCGAUGUUGAAUUAAAGAAAUUUUAGAGUGCAGAAGCUUUAAG